rnacentral:rRNA from 1 species
CCCUUCGGGGUGGAUUAGUGGCGAACGGGUGAGUAACACGUGGGCAAUCUGCCCUUCACUCUGGGACAAGCCCUGGAAACGGGGUCUAAUACCGGAUAACACUCUGUCCCGCAUGGGACGGGGUUGAAAGCUCCGGCGGUGAAGGAUGAGCCCGCGGCCUAUCAGCUUGUUGGUGGGGUAAUGGCCUACCAAGGCGACGACGGGUAGCCGGCCUGAGAGGGCGACCGGCCACACUGGGACUGAGACACGGCCCAGACUCCUACGGGAGGCAGCAGUGGGGAAUAUUGCACAAUGGGCGAAAGCCUGAUGCAGCGACGCCGCGUGAGGGAUGACGGCCUUCGGGUUGUAAACCUCUUUCAGCAGGGAAGAAGCGAAAGUGACGGUACCUGCAGAAGAAGCGCCGGCUAACUACGUGCCAGCAGCCGCGGUAAUACGUAGGGCGCAAGCGUUGUCCGGAAUUAUUGGGCGUAAAGAGCUCGUAGGCGGCUUGUCACGUCGGAUGUGAAAGCCCGGGGCUUAACCCCGGGUCUGCAUUCGAUACGGGCUAGCUAGAGUGUGGUAGGGGAGAUCGGAAUUCCUGGUGUAGCGGUGAAAUGCGCAGAUAU